ACCUGGUUGAUCUUGCCAGUAGUCAUAUGCUUGUCUCACAGAUUAAGCCAUGCAAGUGAAAGUACAUAUGUAAGUAAUAUAUUGAAACUGCGAACGGCUCAUUAAAACAGUUAUAAUCUACUUGAUGUUUUUAAUAUAAGGAUAACUACGGAAAAUCUGUAGCUAAUACUUGUGAAAAUACCUUUUGAUAUAUACAUAUGUAUGUAUCAUUAAGGUAUGUAUUUGUUAGAUAUAAGAAUAAAAUAAAUAUAAUUGAAUUAUAACAAAGAAGAAACACAUAAAAUAUGUGUAUUAUCAAUCGAGUAUCUGACCUAUCAGCUUUUGAUGUUAGGGUAUUGACCUAACAUGGCUAUGACGGGUAACGGGGAAUUAGAGUUCGAUUCCGGAGAGGGAGCCUGAGAAAUAGCUACCACAUCUAAGGAAGGCAGCAGGCGCGUAAAUUACCCAAUUCUAAAAAAGAGAGGUAGUGACAAGAAAUAACAAUACAAUAUCGAAAAAUGAUUUUGUAAUUGGAAUGAUAGGAAUUUACAAGGUUCCUAGAGAAACAAUUGGAGGGCAAGUCUGGUGCCAGCAGCCGCGGUAAUUCCAGCUCCAAUAGCAUAUAUUAAAAUUGUUGCAGUUAAAACGUUCGUAGUUGAAUAUUAAAGAAUCCGAUGUUUCAUUUAAACUGGUUUGGGAAAACCAAAUAUAUUAUAUAUUUUGCUUUGUUCAAAAUAAGGUUUUCUAAUAAAUUAUGUUUUUAUCAGAUAUGACAGAAUCUUUUUUAAAAUCUCUUCAAUAUGCUUUUAUUGCUUUUGAGAGGUUUUGUUACUUUGAGUAAAAUUAAGUGUUCAUAACAGACGGGUAGUCAUGAUUGAGUUCAUUGUGUUUGAAUACUACAGCAUGGAAUAACAAAUAUGAAUAAGCUAAUUAUUUUUUUUUUUUCAUAAUUUUUUUUGAUAUUCUUAUUAGCUUAGUUACGAUUAAUAGGAGUAGCUUUGGGGGCAUUCGUAUUCAGAUGUCAGAGGUGAAAUUCUAAGAUUUUCUGGAGACGGACUACUGCGAAAGCAUUUGCCUAAUCUAUUUCCAUUAAUCAAGAACGAAAGUUAAGGGAGUGAAGACGAUCAGAUACCGUCGUAAUCUUAACCAUAAACUAUACCGACUAGGUGUUGGAUGAAUAUAAAAAAUAUAUAAAUAUGUAGCAUUUCUUAGGGAAUGUUGAUUUUAUAUUAGAAUUGCUUCCUUCAGUACCUUAUGAGAAAUCAAAGUCUUUGGGUUCUGGGGCGAGUAUUCGCGCAAGCGAGAAAGUUAAAAGAAUUGACGGAAGGGCACCACCAGGCGUGGAGCUUGCGGCUUAAUUUGACUCAACACGGGAAAACUCACUAGUUUAAGACAAGAGUAGGAUUGACAGAUUAAUAGCUCUUUCUUGAUUUCUUGGAUGGUGAUGCAUGGCCGUUUUUAGUUCGUGAAUAUGAUUUGUCUGGUUAAUUCCGAUAACGAACGAGAUCUUAACCUGCUAAUUAGCGGUAAGUACACUAUAUUUUUAUUUGAAAUUGAAUAUAGGUAAUUAUACAUGUUUAUUCAGUGUUCAAAUUAGGAUAUUUUUUUUAUUAAAAUAUUCUUUUCCCUGUUCUACUAUAAUAAUUUGUUUUUUUUUACUCUAUUUCUCUCUUCUUUUAAGAAUGUACUUGCUUGAUUAAAUAAAGCUUCUUAGAGGAACAGUGUGUAUCUAACACAAGGAAGUUUAAGGCAACAACAGGUCUGUGAUGUCCUUAGAUAAACUAGGCUGCACGCGUGCUACAAUGAUAUAUAUAACAAGUUGUUAAAAAUGUACUUAUAAAUAAGUGUGUACAAUUUUUCCUGUACUGAAAAGUAUAGGUAAUCUUUAUCAGUAUAUAUCGUAAUUGGGAUAGAUUAUUGCAAUUAUUAAUCUUGAACGAGGAAUGCCUAGUAAGCAUGAUUCAUUAGAUUGUGCUGACUACGUCCCUGCCCUUUGUACACACCGCCCGUCGCUCCUACCGAUUGAAAGAUAUGAUAAAUUGUUUGGAUAUGAAUUAAAAUAAUGAAAUUUUAUAUUUCUGAUUUUUUCUAGAAGAACUGUAAAUCCUAUCUUUUAAAGGAAGGAGAAGUCGUAACAAGGUUUCCGUAGGUGAACCUGCGGAAGGAUCAUUA
rnacentral:rRNA from 1 species